AAUCAUGCAACCUUUCAAACAAAAACAAACAAACAAAAAAAAAACAAGCACUGAGCUACUUCUUGGCAUCUACUUGACAAAACUGAAUGAAGAGGGGAGAAGGAGGAAGACGUCGUCAGCUCCAAGCUUAGACAGAGGGGAGAGGCCCCACACCUGCACUCUCUCUCCCUCUUCCCAUCCUGCUGCUGGGGAAAACUCUGAGCUAGACUGACCACCAUGUUGAUUGGGCACAUCGGGAUUUUUCUUAACAGUAUUCUGACCCCACCCCCACCCAGUCACACAUACACAACACACAGCCUCCAUUUUCUCUCCCAUGGUGCUCUCGUUUCAACCGACCAAGCAUUUAACUUAAAUGUCACGAUGGAGGACGUGUCGUCAUAUGCACUUGGGACUGAACUAAGCGACGGAAGAAAACCUAUGAAAAAACAAAAACAAAAAUAAAAUCAACGUAUUAUGAACUUUGCAAGGACAUUUUAAAGUACAGUCAUAUGUCCCUUGCUGUCCUGGUACUGGAAAUGUUUUUGGACGUGUUCGACUCAUUCUUGUGGAAUUGUUGGUAUAAUGAUGGUGAUGAUGAUUAAAUUGGCCCCUCUUUGCUGUUUA